GCCGCCAUAGCUCAGUUGGUUAGAGCGCCAGAUUGUGGAUCUGGAGGUCCCCCGUUCAAGCCGGGGUGGCGGUACCA
rnacentral:tRNA from 4 species